CCUGCUCCUAGAAUCAUUGCAUAUGUGGCUGCUGUGUCACAUGUGUCAGGAGACGGCAGAUAGAACAGAAGCUAUGCCUAUGUUCAGUGUACCAAUCUAAGAACAUCUGAAUGAUUAGUGACCUAAUAUU